AUAAAAGCAUUCAUUUUCAAGAGUUAUCUACAGAACAGAUACAGCUUGAGUAGUGGCCUUGAAAGCUCUCUCCACAUUGUCCUACUAAUAUGCCUCAAAAGCCUGGGCUAGAAAGACCACCAUUUAAGGGCAAUUGUAAUUGAAUUUCGAUGGACCAUUCAAUCCUUGGCUUUU
rnacentral:sRNA from 1 species